rnacentral:rRNA from 1 species
AGAGUUUGAUUCUGGCUCAGAACGAACGCUGGCGGCAGGCCUUAUACAUGCAAGUCGAGCGCAUCCUUCGGGAUGAGCGGCGGACGGGUGAGUAACGCGUGGGAAUGUGCCCUUCUCUACGGAAUAGCCACUGGAAACGGUGAGUAAUACCGUAUACGCCCUCAGGGGGAAAGAUUUAUCGGAGAAGGAUCAGCCCGCGUUAGAUUAGGUAGUUGGUGGGGUAACGGCCUACCAAGCCUACGAUCUAUAGCUGGUUUUAGAGGAUGAUCAGCCACACUGGGACUGAGACACGGCCCAGACUCCUACGGGAGGCAGCAGUAGGGAAUCUUGGACAAUGGGGGCAACCCUGAUCCAGCCAUGCCGCGUGAGUGAAGAAGGCCCUAGGGUCGUAAAGCUCUUUCGCCUGUGAUGAUAAUGACAGUAGCAGGUAAAGAAACCCCGGCUAACUCCGUGCCAGCCGCCGCGGUAAUAC